rnacentral:misc_RNA from 1 species
UCCGAGUUGACCCCGGCAGUCUCCUAUGAGUCCCCACCAUUACGUGCUGUCAACAUAGGACGAGGGUUGCGCUCGUUGCGGGACUUAACCCAACAUCUCACGACACGAGCUGACGACAGCCGUGCAGCACCUGUGUGCAGGUCCCCGAAGGGAAGGAAUCCAUCUCUGGAAGCCGUCCUGCCAUGUCAAGGGCUGGUAAGGUUCUUCGCGUUGCGUCGAAUUAAACCACAUGCUCCACUGCUUGUGCGGGCCCCCGUCAAUUCCUUUGAGUUUCAGCCUUGCGGCCGUACUCCCCAGGCGGGGCACUUAAUGCGUUUGCGCCGGCCCUCAAGGGGUCGCUCCCCCAAGGACCUAGUGCCCAUCGUUUACGGCGUGGACUAC